AGUGAACGCUGGCGGCGUGCUUAACACAUGCAAGUCGAACGAGAACGGAUUAUAGCUUGCUAUAAUUGUCAGCUAAGUGGCGCACGGGUGAGUAAUGUAUAGGUAAUAUGCCUCUUACUAAGGGAUAACAAAUGGAAACGUUUGCUAAUACCUUAUACUCCUUAUUAACAGAAGUUAAUAAGGGAAAGAUUUAUUGGUAAGAGAUUAGCCUGUAUUGUAUCAGUUAGUUGGUGGGGUAAUGGCUUACCAAGACUAUGACACAUAACUGGUUUGAGAGGAUGAUCAGUCACGCUGGAACUGAGACACGGUCCAGACUCCUACGGGAGGCAGCAGUGGGGAAUAUUGCACAAUGGACGAAAGUCUGAUGCAGCAACGCCGCGUGGAGGAUGACACAUUUCGGUGCGUAAACUCCUUUUAUAUGAGAAGGUAAUGACGGUAUUAUAUGAAUAAGCACCGGCUAACUCCGUGCCAGCAGCCGCCGUAA
rnacentral:rRNA from 1 species